UAUGGUAUCUUUAAUAUUCUUUGCUUUUUGAGCUGACAACCCAUAAUUGUAAACAUAAACAGUGUUAUCAAGAUUUGCAAACCAAAAGAAAUAUAAAAAUAAUAAUUUAUGAAAUAAGAAUUCAUAAAAGUAGAGCGCUAGAUCACUAAAGUUUUUUCUAUAAGACCACUUUCAAUCCAACUUCCAGGAUCAUACAUCACCAUAAGCGGUACCUUUUAACACUAUAAUCUACUUCUCUGCUCUUCAACAAUAAUGGAAGUAACUCAACAAUAGGAUAUGUUCUCUUCUCCAAAGCUUUGUUCCAACAUCAAAGAAAUACUAACUGCACUUCUAGCUAUGCAUCAACAGAUAUGCCCGAGUAUUCAAAUAUUGAAAACAACUGUACAAAUAUAAAAUUAUGAAGACAGAAAGGUAUUCAACAAAUACAAAGACAGAUCUGCAGGCUUUAGCUUUGUCACCUUAGCAAGGAACCUAUAAUGACCAAGCAAGCAAGUGCUAACAAUAUCCAACAUGCAUUACAUUUCAAAACAAUGCUAGUUAACACUUUUCUCCUUUUGUUCUGUCACUGUUUCCACACCCUCCUCAUCAGCACCCUCCUUUAUGCAAAAAUUUAUCAUCUUAUAUUCAAGAAAGGAAAUAACAACAGGUCCAAAAUUUCUUAUCGGGGACAACAUGCCCUUCUAACAACUCAGUCAAAGCUUCUGAUUUUUUAAGUAGUCUCAAAAAAAUAAAAUAACAAUAAAUUGGUAUUUAAAUAAAAAAAAUACCUCCUUGAUGAACUGCUCAAUUUCCUUCCCCUUUCUCACCAACUCUGAGCUAAGUCCCAACACCUUGACCUCCCACCUCUUCACUUUCUUUCUCAAAAUUCUAGAAUCUUUUCAUCAAACAAAUUUCAUUCAUUAUAUGCUAUUGAGAUAUAUACUAUUUGAGAUUUAUCAAACAAA